rnacentral:snoRNA from 1 species
CCUCCUGUUCUUGUCACGCCCGCCCUGUGUGUGGGAGCGCGUGUAUAUAUCAUACGGAGGGACAGUGACCGACCUCAGUGUUAUGUCUUCGGUGGCAGCGGGUGUCCGUCUGUUGCUUCUAUCCUCACUCACUGAGACAAGA